GGAGAGAUGGCUGAGUGGUUGAUAGCCCCGG
rnacentral:tRNA from 1 species